rnacentral:tRNA from 1 species
AUGAGUAUACUAACUCCAUAAACA